rnacentral:rRNA from 1 species
UACGGGGGGGGCAAGCGUUGUUCGGAAUUACUGGGCGUAAAGGGUUUGUAGGUGGCCGGCUAAGUCAGACGUGAAAUCCCUCAGCUUAACUGGGGAACUGCGUCUGAAACUGAUCGGCUCGAGUGCAGGAGAGGAACGCGGAAUUCCAGGUGUAGCGGUGAAAUGCGUAGAUAUCUGGAGGAACACCGGUGGCGAAGGCGGCAUCCUGGACCGGCAUUGACGCUGAGGCGCGAAAGCCAGGGGAGCAAACGGG